GAUGAAGAACGUAGCGAAAUGCGAUAAGUAGUGUGAAUUGCAGAAUUCCGUGAAUCAUCGAUUCUUUGAACGCACAUUGCGCCUUCUGGUAUUCCGGAAGGCAUGCCUGUUCGAGAGUCAUUAACAACCGUUUCGAUCCCUUUCUUUCAGAAAUUACAAAGAGGAAAAGGGUUUGGUUAUGGUGGAGGAGGGAAAGGGAGCGUUUAGCCUGUAAAAAAAGAGGCUGUGUUCCGCCUCCCCCCCAAAAUUGUACAGGCGGUCGUGUGCGCCCACGCAUCGAGGUGUUGUAAAAGCUGCCACGGCACUUUUCACCUGUGCAGUGCGAGAUUGGCCAGCCGGUUUAAAAACCCCUCCAAACAAUCAAAGGUUGACCUCGGAUCAGGUAGGGAUACCCGCUGAACUUAAGCAUAUCAAUAAGCGGAGGA
rnacentral:misc_RNA from 1 species